GGAAUGCACGGACGGUGUUAGUGGGGGAACAGGAAGUUCCGGACAGAAGCGCACCAUUCUCCAGUGUAAAGAAAGCGCCAGAACGGUGCAGGCCGACCAGAAUUACAUCUGAGGCCGGUAACAUCAACAGUGAGGUCAGACCCAGCCUGCCUCUCUCCUUCCACACUGAGUCCAAACCUACAGUCACUGGGUCCUGAUUGUGACAUUGGAGCCCAGWUUGCACUGCAGGAUCCAGAGAUGGCAUCAGUGAAGCUGGAAGACUGYAGUCAAACACUGGAGCUGAAUGUCGACAUUAAAGAUGAAGAAGAGGAGGAGAAGAUUGGGGAAUCUGUUUCUCAUGGUAUGAGGCCGGUAACAUCAACAGUGAGGACAAACCCAGCCUGCCUCUCUCCUUCCACACUGAGUCCAAACCUACAGUCACUGGGUCCUGAUUGUGACAGUGGAGCCCAGU